AUACGUAGGGGGAGAGCGUUGUCCGGAAUGAUUGGGCGUAAAGGGCGCGUAGGCGGCCCUGAAAGCCUGGAGUGAAAGUCCUGUUUUUAAGAUGGGAAUUGCUUUGGAUACUGUCGGGCGUCAGUGCAGGAGAGGUAAGUGGACUUCCCAGUGUAGCGGUGAAAUGCGUAGAGAUUGGGAGGAACACCAGUGGCGAAGGCGACUUACUGGACUGUAACUGACGCUGAGGCGCGAAAGUGUGGGGAGCAAACAGGAUUAGAUACCCUGGUAGUCCACACUGUAAACGAUGAAUGCUAGGUGUAGGGGGUAUCGACCCCUUCUGUGCCGCAGUCAACACAAUAAGCAUUCCGCCUGGGGAGUACGGCCGCAAGGUUGAAACUCAAAGGAAUUGACGGGG
rnacentral:rRNA from 1 species